rnacentral:siRNA from 1 species
UAUUCCAAUAUGCUAUGCCACAUC